AACGCUAAGACAUACAAACUAUGGAUCCCCUUUUUUGAAAACAAUGGUGUGGAACUAGUAUGUGCGUGAGACGUCAACAUAAACACAAACACUCAUUUUUGUUUAAAACUUACUAACUCAAAAGGGAAGGCUGAGAGAAAGUUAGUCUCGGCUGAGAGAAAGUGAGAGGACUGAUGAUAAAAAUGUGUGGGAGAAGAAUGCCGAAAUAGAAGUCAUUGCGUCAUUCACAGCCAAUCAAAGAACACCAAGUGUCAACUGUGACCUUUAGGAUAUAAAAUAAAACACCUGAAACUGUAAGUUCAAAAUCAAAAAGUAAUGGCUGCCCCAAUAGAGGAUGUCCUCAUUGAGGUCCAUCCAUCUGAUGGUAAGUUGGGAAUGUGUAACCCUAUAGUGAUAACUAUAAUGCCUUUUUUUGGUAGAUGAACUUG